CGGUACAUCUACAUGCGGAAGAGGAAGAAAGCUGUUAAAUACAUCAGAUUACUCACCGGGGCUGUCACCAGAAACCACAGUUGGUGCUACAGAGCUGCUAAUCACUCGCUCUCACUCAAGGACACUCUAUCAGCGUGGCGCUCUGCAGGACACUUAACCUGAACUCAUCCAGCUGCUGAAGGACAGCUCUACAGGAAUCAUACACAUACAGAAGACA